GCCAGCAGCCGCGGUAAUACGGAGGAUCCAAGCGUUAUCCGGAUUUAUUGGGUUUAAAGGGUGCGUAGGCGGACCUUUAAGUCAGUGGUGAAAGUUUGCGGCUCAACCGUAAAAUUGCCAUUGAAACUGAAGGUCUUGAGUGUAAAUAAGGUAGGCGGAAUGUGUUGUGUAGCGGUGAAAUGCUUAGAUAUAACACAGAACACCAAUUGCGAAGGCAGCUUACUGGGAUACAACUGACGCUGAGGCACGAAAGCGUGGGGAUCAAACAGGAUUAGAUACCCUGGUAGUCCACGCAGUAAACGAUGAAUACUAGCUGUAUGCGAUAUACUGUAUGUGGCAAAGCGAAAGCGUUAAGUAUUCCACCUGGGGAGUACGUUCGCAAGAAUGAAACUCAAAGGAAUUGACGGGGGCCCGCACAAGCGGAGAACAUGUGGUUUAAUUCGAUGAUACGCGAGGAACCUUACCCGGGCUUGAAAUGCAGACGACCGACCAGGAAACUGGUCUUCCAGUAAUGGCGUCUGUGUAGGUGCUGCAUGGUUGUCGUCAGCUCGUGCCGUGAGGUGUCGGCUUAAGUGCCAUAACGAGCGCAACCCCUAUCGAUAGUUACUAACAGGUUAAGCUGAGGACUCUAUUGAGACUGCCACCGUAAGGUGUGAGGAAGGUGGGGAUGACGUCAAAUCAGCACGGCCCUUACGUCCGGGGCGACACACGUGUUACAAUGGGGGGUACAGAGGGUUGCUACUGCGCGAGCAGAUGCUAAUCUCUUAAAGCCUCUCUCAGUUCGGAUCGGAGUCUGCAACUCGACUCCGUGAAGCUGGAUUCGCUAGUAAUCGCGCAUCAGCCAUGGCGCGGUGAAUACGUUCCCGGGCCUUGUACACACCGCCCGUCAAGCCAUGGAAGCUGGGGGGACCUGAAGUACGUAACCGCAAGGAGCGUCCUAGGGUAAAACUAGUAACUGGGGCUAAGUCGUAACAAGGUAUCCA
rnacentral:rRNA from 1 species